GACGAACGCUGGCGGCGUGCUUAACACAUGCAAGUCGAGCGGGGAACUUCGGUUCCCAGCGGCGGACGGGUGAGUAACACGUGGGUAACCUGCCUUACAGUGGGGAAUAGCCUUCCGAAAGGAAGAUUAAUACCGCAUAAUACUCAGAGAUCGCAUGAUCUUUGAGCCAAAGGCAUUUAUUUCGCUGUAAGAUGGACCCGCGGCGCAUUAGCUUGUUGGUGAGGUAACGGCUCACCAAGGAGGCGAUGCGUAGCCGACCUGAGAGGGUGAUCGGCAACAUUGGAACUGGGACACGGUCCAGACUCCUACGGGAGGCAGCGGUGGGGAAUAUUGCACAAGGGAGGAAACUCUGAUGCGGCAACGCCGCUUGAGUGAUGAAGGUCUUGGGAUCGUAAAACUCUGUCUUAUGGGACGAUAAUGACGGUACCAUAGGAGGAAGCCACGGCUAACUACGUGCCAGCAGCCGCCGUAA
rnacentral:rRNA from 1 species